GAAAAAAGUAAAAAUCUUGAUGAAGAAACAGAAGCUGCAGCAGGUUAGAAAAAUUGUGAAGCAGCAAGAUGAUGAAAAACCUUGGGGCCAGGACAACCUUGUCAAGGUUGGCUGCAGAUUGAUUCAGAUAUUAAUAGAAACCGCCUAUAUACAGCCUCCAAAUGACCAGUUAGAGGAUUGUCCCCCAGAUAUUCGCCCAGCAUUUAUGCACACCCUCA
rnacentral:misc_RNA from 1 species